CAGUAGCCGCGGGAAUACAGAGGGUGCGAGCGUUAAUCGGAUUUACUGGGCGUAAAGCGUGCGUAGGCGGCUAAUUGAGUCGGAUGUGAAAUCCCCGAGCUUAACUUGGGAAUUGCAUUCGAUACUGGUUAGCUAGAGUGUGGGAGAGGAUGGUAGAAUUCCAGGUGUAGCGGUGAAAUGCGUAGAGAUCUGGAGGAAUACCGAUGGCGAAGGCAGCCAUCUGGCCUAACACUGACGCUGAGGUACGAAAGCAUGGGGAGCAAACAGGAUUAGAUACCCCCGUAGUCCCUGUCUCUUUACA
rnacentral:rRNA from 1 species